AACGAACGCUGGCGGCAGGCUUAACACAUGCAAGUCGAGCGCCCCGCAAGGGGAGCGGCAGACGGGUGAGUAACGCGUGGGAAUCCACCAUUUGCUACGGAACAACUCCGGGAAACUGGAGCUAAUACCGUAUGUGUCCUUCGGGAGAAAGAUUUAUCGGCAAAUGAUGAGCCCGCGUUGGAUUAGCUAGUUGGUGGGGUAAAGGCCUACCAAGGCGACGAUCCAUAGCUGGUCUGAGAGGAUGAUCAGCCACACUGGGACUGAGACACGGCCCAGACUCCUACGGGAGGCAGCAGUGGGGAAUAUUGGACAAUGGGCGCAAGCCUGAUCCAGCCAUGCCGCGUGAGUGAUGAAGGCCCUAGGGUUGUAAAGCUCUUUCACCGGUGAAGAUAAUGACGGUAACCGGAGAAGAAGCCCCGGCUAACUUCGUGCCAGCAGCAGCCGCGGUAA
rnacentral:rRNA from 1 species